GGAGAUACGGUUUGAAAGUUAUAAUCGUUUAAAAAUCCAGCUGAACGAGGACAAAGUUGCGUCACACCUCCCAAAAGUUGCGGCGUAACUUUCGGUUGCUUAAUUGAUUAAAGGAAGGGAAGAGUGAUUUGAUUUGUGGUGUUAUCAUACUCAAUUGAUUAGAAAUCUGCAAAGGGAUUAAAGAAAGAAGAUGGUGAUUGAAAAGAAAGAGAAAGACAAUGAGAAAAUGGAAGCCACGUGUUUGAGUGUGAUUGGAUUAGACUAACCGUGUGUUUUGCACUUGUAUAACACGGGUAUAUUGUUUAAAUUUGUUAGUUUUUAAAACAUGUUCAUUUUAUAAAAUAGUCUUUUUUUUAUUUAUUAAAGUAAUUUUCCCUUCA